rnacentral:rRNA from 1 species
AUUGAACGCUGGCGGAAUGCUUUACACAUGCAAGUCGAACGGCAGCACGGGGCAACCUGGUGGCGAGUGGCGAACGGGUGAGUAAUACAUCGGAACGUGCCCAAUCGUGGGGAUAACGUAGCGAAAGUUACGCUAAUACCGCAUACGAUCUACGGAUGAAAGCGGGGGAUCGCAAGACCUCGCGCGAAUGGAGCGGCCGAUGUCAGAUUAGGUAGUUGGUGGGGUAAAGGCUCACCAAGCCGACGAUCUGUAGCUGGUCUGAGAGGACGACCAGCCACACUGGGACUGAGACACGGCCCAGACUCCUACGGGAGGCAGCAGUGGGGAAUUUUGGACAAUGGGCGCAAGCCUGAUCCAGCCAUCCCGCGUGCAGGAUG